AAUAUUCUACAAUGGGGGCAACCAUGAUCCAGCCAUGCCGCGUGGGUGAAGAAGGUCGUCGGCUUGUAAAACACUUUAGUUUGGGAGGAAGGGCAUUAGGUUAAUACACUGAAGUAUUCACGUUACCAACAGACCAAGCACCGGCUAACACUGUCCCACCAGCCGCGGUAAUACAAAGGGGGCAAGCGUCAAUCGGAAUAACUGGGCGUAAAGGGGGCGUAGGUGGUUCAGUAAGAUGGGUGGGAAAUCCCCGGGCUUAACCUGGGAACUGCUUUCAUAACUGCUGAGCUAGAGGACGGUAGGGGGUAGUGGAAUUUCCUGUGUAGCGGUGAAAUGCGUAAGUAUAGGAAGGAACACCAGUGGCGAAGGCGACUACCUGGACUGAUACUGACACUGAGGUGCAAAAGCGUGGGGAGCAAAA
rnacentral:rRNA from 1 species